GACAGUAGAAGGGGGGCAGAGCGAGCGAGCGAGCGCCCCAACCAGGGCCGGGAUCAAGCCUGCAAACGAGGUCGGUGCUCUUCCCCGGGAUUGAACCCCUGGCCCUCCAGCCGGUGGGCCAGCGCUCUAACCACUGAGCCAAACUGGCCAGGGCUUCCCACGAACGUUCUGCAACAGCAUUUCUUCUAAAUUUCAAGAGUCAUAAAAAAAGAGCAUUGUUGACGAUACAGAAGUUAUCUGACGCACCUUCCGCGAUUGUAACAGUGGGCUUAUACACGAGGUUUGAGAAAAGCCUAAGGAGCCAGUAUAAUCAUAAUUAUUAUUAUUACUAAUAUUAGUACUAAUAUUCGUUUGUAGGUAUGCAGGCCUUGUCAGUGUCUCGGGAUGGCCGCCUGUUUCUGACGUCUGGGUUUUUCAUCCAUGAAAAGUCUCUGAUCUCCACCGCAGACGGAGGCGGGUGUCCCCUCGCGGUUGGGCGCCUGGGAAGAGUGAAGACGCCCGCCGCUUUCCCAGCCUCCUGAGGCCGCGAGCGACGCCAAGGGCACAGCCACUGUCGGCGUCAACACCGGCUGCUUGGUCUUCGGCCGGUUGACAAGCCCGAGUGAGAACAAUUAGGCUUGUGGGGCAGAUUUUAUUCGGGUAAACGAGAGCCUUCAGGUGUGCCCGCCCCCACGGAAGGUCCUGCUUUUCCAGCUCAGUGACAUUCCUGCUGAUCCUUUAAAGACCCGUCUGUAAAACCAGAGUUAGCAAGGGCUCGCCUGCCAACCGCUCCCGGGAGUCAGGUGGUCAGCAGGCGAAACGCAACGCAAUCGGUGUCCUCCUCCGCAGACAACUGAGGAAAAGAGAGGGUUCCUCUGAGUCUUUCGGGGUGAGUCAGCAGCCCAUCUCUAGAUGUUAGAUGACCGACGUAUCUCACCUGCGGUGGACAGAGUCAGAGCUUGUUCUUGGGUAUCCGUGUCCCUCCACGGCUAGCUGCUGUAAUAGAGAGACUGGAAGGGAGAAAGAGAGAGAAAACAAACCCAACACAUCGACGUGAGAGAGAUGCAUCGAGGGGUCGCCUCCCUCACUCGCCCCGGCAGGGGCUGGGGGUCGAGCCUGCAACCGAGGUGCCUAAGAACGCCCCCGGGACUCGGGCUGGCGGGAGGAAGUGCCCCUUAUCUUUGGAGCCGAACCAGUUCAGGUCUCAUUUUCGCAGCGAAGGGUUUGGCUCAGACUCUCGAUCCCGCGGGGCACAACCGCAGCCCCAGAGCAGAGGCCACGAAUCCCCUCGUUGUUACCGAGUUAAUUGUUGGCUGUUAACUCUCCUGCACCCACCUGAGCAAAAUCUAUUCGUUUUGGGGGCUCUCCGUUGUUGCUCCGAAGCCCGUCGACUGCUUGGACGAGGCCCACGGUGCUGUGCAGGGACCCGCGGGCCCCAGAGCCCGCCGCCUUCGGCGCUCACCCCACCUACAGAGCCCCUUCUCGGGAACCCCCAGACCCCUUCACAGAAAUGCCCUCUGGUGAGGAGUGAAAAAUAAAUAAAAUAAAAGUGGCUAAAGACGCCGGCAGGCAUUUCCCAGGACAGGGACUGGAAGCCAAAGCCGUCGGGCGCCCACCAGACGGACAGAA